GUGCUGCUUUGGCUCUUACUGCUGCCACCACUGCCACUGCUACUGCUGAGGCCCCGGUUGUUGUUGGCUUUGUCACUUGUUUUAUUCUCUGCCCCUUCUGCCCUGUCUCCUAUAGAAAUACAAGGAUUAUCAAAAGUGAGUAUUGACAAUUCUGCCCUGUCUCCUAUAGAAAUACAAAGAUUAUCAAAAGUGAGUAUUGACAAUUCUAAGUCACUUGAGCUCAAACCAGUCAGCUAACUCAGCCCUGUAGAAGUCCCACUGUUACCUACCGUGCCUAUCAGAGAGGUUCUCAGUACAUAAUCAUUUACUGCUUUUAUUCCUUGUGAUGUUUUAUAUAUUCCUUAGCUAUAGAGAUGAAAUUUGCCAUAUUCACUUUAUUGCUGAGAAACAAACCUCUCUACUAUGUGCUUGCCAAGGAGACUGUUCUGAUGUGAGACAUAGGACCUAAGCUCUACUUUAUAGAAGCUGAGUGGAGCCAGGAGCCCCCCCAGAACAGCACUUGGAAACAACCUCAGUGAUCAAUACUGACAGCACAACCACAGAGACCUGGUAAUGCAGCAUGGGGGCCCUGAGACCUGGCAGAGGUAUGGAAUGGCACAACAGUCAGGCUACAGAGGCAGUGUGGCAUCUGGGACGGGGUGAGAAGGCUGCUACUCACCUCGUUCUACUUCACAUUCAGGGGAGGAGGCCCCGCUGCAUUCACUUCGAGGGCCCAACACUGGGAACAUCAUCCCAAACUCUGACAGGGACACAGGGCUGGGCAGAUCCAGGCUGCCAGGCCUCACAACCGCAGGGAACUGGUCAGGCAUCUCAGACGGGCUUGUUGGUCCUGAACUAAAGCUGGACACGGACUGGGUUUCCGAGUCAUCUUCAGACACAAAGUUGCUACAGCUGUCAUCUUCAAAGGCCUCCGAGGCCACUAAGUUGAGAGAGAACACCAGUCACAUGGGUUCUGUCACCUCCUCAAACACCACAAGUGCUUGCUGCUGGCAGGCAGCUAGACACAGCAUGGGGGACUAAAGAGUCUCUACCUCUGUGAGUGCCUAAUGAAGGAAUGUGACUUCCCAAGCCUGAAUGACCAGCCUCUAAAGCAGCUGGAAGGGAAGCAGCUGGCAGCAGGAUCCCAUGGAUAUUAAGCGCCCUUCCAAUAACCUUAUAACCCUGCCAAGAAAUCAGUGUCACCAGACACCACCUAAAAAUGGAAGAUUAAUUCAGCCACAAAUUAGGACCUUUACUCCACCUCAGUCCCCCAAAUACAUCCUCAUGUGCACAGGAAGAGGUUCUAGUCCUCUGUAACAUAUCCCAAACAAAGCCAGCUGGACUCAGGCUUCUUUCUUAGGGCAAUAGAAGCAAGAGCUGCUAGAAGAAACAGGCCAGCAUGGAACAUCUGUUGGGACCUUUGUUAUCUCCAGGUAACUUCUGAUCUCAUAAAGAACACACUCAAAGGCUACCCACAUCACCAUUUGCUGCAAAAGAACAGAAAUCCUUUACAAUGCUCUGUAGCCACAUUAUUUGGUAGACCAAAGUAACAAGGCCCAGACACAUGUUAUUCCCAUGGUUUCAAAGCCUCUUUGGCCUUUAGCGGUUUUCCCUCAGCCUGCCCACAAUCCCACUCCUUAUUAGAACUUUCCUACUCCAUUUUUCCCCCCCUUUCUCUUUAAAAACAGCCUUGUAGCAUUCCAUAAAGGUUUCUUAUAAAUGAUAAAUACUGUAAUGUUGGGGACAGAAAAUGGGCUCAGACCUGAAUUGAAUCCCUAACUCCACUACUUGCUGUGUGACCUUGGUCAAGUUACUUUACCUCUGUAAGCUUCAUGAUCCUCUCCAUGCAGGGUUUGAGAUGAUGUAUAUAUUAAAGUACCUCAUACAUAGUAGUUGUUCAAAUGAUAGUUUCCUUUUCCUUUACCUUGAACCUAGUACUUAAAUAUUUGUUGAAGGAAUUAACUCCUGAGGAAGGAGCUUGGGAAAGAGCCGACAGGGAUUAUUGCACAGGACUUCUCAGCCUUGAAUGUUCAAAUGUAUACUUUGACUCUCAAAGAGGAGUGAAGGUGUAACAUUUUCCCAAUUUAUUUGACCACAGAAUCCUGACUUUGAGGAACACUUAGUACCUUCUUAAUGAACACAGUGUUCCAUAAAACAUGGGAACCCACCAGAAAUAGCCCUCAGGCCUGCCCAACUCUGAGACCUUUCACUGAUGGCCAGAGAAAGUGAGGACCUUGGGAAACAAAUCACACAGUCUGAUAUCUCCCCACAUACCCAGUGGAGCCCCUGACUUACCAGAAAUGGCAUCAGGCUCAGGUUUGCUCCCUGGCAGAUCCUCCACAGAUGUGCUGCUGCCCUCAGCACCAACACCGCAUCCCCGAGGCCCCAUGGCACUGGAGCGCCGCCGCUCGUGGAUCUCAUCUGAGAUCAUCUCCAGGUUCUUCAGGGCCAUCUUGUACUCGCCUUUUGCCAGGGUCAGUUUGGCCUGCAGGUCAUCCACAGUCUUUUUCAGUUGCUGAUCAAGAGAACAGGAGACUAAGUGAAGACUACCCUGCUAGCCUUAAGAUGCUUUCUGAAUGACAGGUUCAAGUACAUUUUCUGCCCAUCAUUCUACUUCAAGGAAUUUUCCAAGACAUGACUGAAGACCUAAUUACCAUUGUAACUGCUAUUCAUUCACCAGACAAAAUCAGCCACCACCAUCCCCAGAUCCCAUCCAGGUGACAACCUCUAAUAUCCAAAAACUCUCACUGGUGGAACAAACCCCAUCAGGGAAGCAAAAAUGGGCAUCAGACACACCAAAGUCCCACAGUCUAGACAUCUGGUUCCCAGUACAGUGGUUCUCAAAGUUGAGCUUGCAUCAAAAUCCCCUUGGGUGUUAAGACUCAGCUCACUAGACUCCAACCUCAGAGUUUCUAAUUCAGUCGGUCUAGAGUGGGACCUGGUCUAUCAGGUCUCCAGGUGAUGCUGAUGCUGCUGGUCCUAAGAGCAUGCUGUGAGAACCACUGGCCUAGUACAACAGAGAAGGUGACUGAAUGGCAGUUACAGAGGUUCAGAGACCACUGAAGACCCAACCGAGACAAUUUUGAGGUCUGAAAACUCAGUAAAGCCUGUCUCUCCACUUUCCCCUUAUAGCAAGUGGCCCAUGUGAUACUCUGCUACCCCAGAAAAGUGAAGCUUUGAGUGCAGAAAAAUCUCAUCAGUGACGAAGCCCAAAGCUACACAUACCUCGAGCUGCACAUAGUACUUUGCCUUGAGUUCAAAAUAAGGCCUGCAGAAGACAGGAAGGAAAGCCAUCAGAGUAAUAUAAUACAGUGACCACAGUCAACUCCACAAGAUGAACAAGAGGCAUCAGCUACCACUGGCCAGGUCGUCCUUCCAAUAUUUAGUAAACUCUUAACAAGGCCGUGACAUGUCAGUGAUGCUCCUAGCUCUGGAGACUGACAGACACCAGAUGGAACGACUGGGCUCACCCAGGGCUAUAUUAACAGGAGGCCCAUCUCAAGACACGGGGAACCCACACACACAUAUCUUGGGGACUCUGCAACUUAGCUCAUGUUCCUCCUCUGUGGGAAGGCUGUUCAGAGCCUCACAGGUUAUACCCAGCAGUAAGGGUGGCCUGGAUCUGCUCUCCUAAUGAAGUUGGCUCCCCAGGGAUGAAGAGCAGCUGAGGCUGGAGAAGGGGCUGCUUAAACCUCCUCCUCUACUGAAGUCAACUGGGGAAGAGAGAGAAGCACCACUCCUCCCUCACAGCACAGCAAGGCCACCACUAGGAGGGGGUCUCAGGUUGGUCCUCCCAAACCUUGUCCAAAGACUGGAGUUAUUAGUUGGCUGACUCAGCCACAUAAUGGGCCCAAGAAAUGCCAGCGUCCUAGCAGUUCCCUUGGUUCUGGGUCAGCUGAAAGAGCUUGGCUCUUUUUUAGGAACUUUGGUGCCUGAACAUUAAGAGUAGAUCACUGCUUUAUUCUUGAGCUGUUCACCCUCCAUGAAGCUCUCAAGUCCUGCAUCCUGAGGAUCCAGAUGGAUGACAAGGACACAGGACUGCCAUUGAGAAAUGAAGAUGAACUGUGUCACAGAUGCAGUGGAUUACUGACUGCCCUUGUAAUAGUCCAUUUUGCAUCUGUUGGUAAUUCAUUGAGGCACUCUUGGUUUUCUAUGAGUUUGUAUUUUUUGAAUUCAAGAAUUGUAACAUCACUGUUAGAUCCCUCCUUAUUUAAUGAGAGAAAUAAAAUAUUUGACACGAGAAAAUUUUAUAUUUGUAUCCCAAUUAUGCUUUUACCUUCUUAAAAAUAUCUUUUAACAAAGGCUUCAGUGCUUCAGAUAAUUUUUAAAAACAGAAAAACAACAAAAUCAGAGAAGAAAAAUAGGAGAGAACUGAGCUAAGCUGGCACGAGGAGACAUGCUUGCUCACAUGACUUCUCAACCAAGACCAAAGGGCUAAGAGAAUCCUUUCCCUUUGCUUCCAAAACCAGAUAUUUCACAAGGAAACAAAAUGCACUAAAAAUAUCUCAUGCUUGAUACUUGGGGAAACAGCAGUAAAUCUUAAGCUUUAAGGAUUUACUGGUAUAACCUUUAUGAAAACUCAAACCUUCAGGUUCAUCAAAGACAACAUGUUGGGGGUGAUUGUUUUAUUACAAAAAGAUCCAAUUAAAGGUUUACCUUUAAGGAGCUGUCAGAAUGCAUUUUCAACAGACUUGUAGAACCUGUAAUUUGAGGGUCCUGUACAGAAAGAGUCCCCUGUAAGAAGCAGGAUUCUCACCAUCUGCACACAGGCCCUCAUUCUAUCUUGGCCUCUAGGCUGCAAGCAGAAGCACAGGCUUUCUACAAUAAAACACUUGGAAAGCUCCGAGCCCAUGGCAAUACUGGCAGUGAAAACUGA
rnacentral:lncRNA from 1 species